rnacentral:RNase_P_RNA from 1 species
GAAGCAGGCCAGACCGCCGCUGGUGCGAUUCAGGGAAACCUGGCACUGGAGGAAGGUCCGGACUGCACAGGGCGGCGUAGCAGCUAACGGCUGUCCACCGCGAGGUGAGGAUCAGAGCAACAGAGACGAGUCGCCGCGGGGUUCCGUGCGGGUGCUCUGUCGAGGGCCGGCGAAAGCCGGCGAGUCGGGCGGCGUGCCGCACGACCCCGGGCGCAAGCCCGGGCCGAGGCAGUCACCCGUCGCGGGGCAAGGCCCCGCGACGGGUGAAACGGGCAAUCUCUACGCGCAGCAACACCAAAUAGGCCGGCAUUGAUGCGGCCCGCGGAGCCGGCGGGUAGGUGGCACCGAGCCGGGUGGGCGACCCCCGGCCCAGAGGAAUGGCGGUCACGGCCGCGCUUCGCAAGGGGCGCGGCCGCACAGAAUCCGGCCUAUCGGCCUGCUUCACAC